GGGGAAUAUUGCGCAAUGGGGGAAACCCUGACGCAGCAAUACCGCGUGAGUGAAGAAGGUUUUCGGAUCGUAAAGCUCUGUUAUUGGGGAAGAAAAAAAGACGGUACCCAAGGAGAAAGUUCCGGCUAACUACGUGCCAGCAGCCGCGGUAAUACGUAGGGAACAAGCGUUGUCCGGAUUUACUGGGCGUAAAGGGCACGCAGGCGGUUUUUUAAGUCAGAUGUGAAAGGUACCGGCUCAACCGGUGACAUGCAUUUGAAACUGAAAGACUUGAGUAUUGGAGAGGCAAGUGGAAUUCCUAGUGUAGCGGUGAAAUGCGUAGAGAUUAGGAGGAACACCAGUGGCGAAGGCGGCUUGCUGGACAAAUACUGACGCUGAGGUGCGAAAGCGUGGGGAGCAAAC
rnacentral:rRNA from 1 species